rnacentral:lncRNA from 1 species
CAUUUUUGAAAAGUCAGAGGUAUUUAAAAAUCAAUUAAAACAAGUCAAAAAUCACAAAAUUCACUAAAAUUAUCAAACUCAAUCCAAAAAUUAAUUUUAAUUCAGAAAUGGAAAGAGGAAAUUAUAUGUGAAUUUUGGUGUUGGUCCCAUAAUUUUUGGAUUAAAAAAAAUUAUAAUGAAUUUGAUAAGAAAAUGCUAUUUAAAAAUUAAUUUGGAAAAAUAAAGCAAAUCAGAAAAACAAGGGCCAUCAGAUCUCCCUCAUUAAUUGAG